ACAGAUCAACAAAGUACGACGGGGA
rnacentral:rasiRNA from 1 species